CCAAUAGCGUAUAUUAAAGUUGUUGCAGUUAAAAAGCUCGUAGUUGAAUUUCGGGACCAAUCUGCCGGUCGUGCCUCUGGUACGCACUGGUUUUAUUGGUUUCUCCCUUCUGACGAACCAUAAUGUCAUUAAUUUGGUGUCAUGGGGAAUCAGGACUGUUACUUUGAAAAAAUUAGAGUGUUUAAAGCAGGCUCACGCUUGAAUACAUUAGCAUGGAAUAAUGAAAUAGGACGUUUGACCCUAUUUUGUUGGUUUCUAGGAUCGACGUAAUGAUUAAUAGGGAUAGUUGGGGGCAUUAGUAUUCAAUUGUCAGAGGUGAAAUUCUUGGAUUUAUUGAAGGCUAACUACUGCGAAAGCAUUUGCCAAGGAUAUUUUCAUUAAUCAAGAACGAAAGUUAGGGGAUCGAAGACGAUCAGAUACCGUCGUAGUCUUAACCAUAAACUAUGCCGACUAGGGAUCGGAUGAUGUUAAUUUUUUAAUGACUCAUUCGGCGCCUUAC
rnacentral:misc_RNA from 1 species